AGAGUUUGAUCAUGGCUCAGGACGAACGCUGGCGGCGCGCCUAACACAUGCAAGUCGAACGGAGCUAAGAGGAGCUUGCUUUUCUUAGCUUAGUGGCGAACGGGUGAGUAACGCGUGAGUAACCUGCCCUGGAGUGGGGGACAACAGUUGGAAACGACUGCUAAUACCGCAUAAGCCCACGGCCCGGCAUCGGGCUGCGGGAAAAGGAUUUAUUCGCUCUAGGAUGGACUCGCGUCCAAUUAGCUAGUUGGUGAGGUAACGGCCCACCAAGGCGACGAUUGGUAGCCGGACUGAGAGGUUGAACGGCCACAUUGGGACUGAGACACGGCCCAGACUCCUACGGGAGGCAGCAGUGGGGGAUAUUGCACAAUGGGGGAAACCCUGAUGCAGCGACGCCGCGUGGAGGAAGAAGGUUUUCGGAUUGUAAACUCCUGUCGUUAGGGACGAUAAUGACGGUACCUAACAAGAAAGCACCGGCUAACUACGUGCCAGCAGCCGCGGUAAAACGUAGGGUGCAAGCGUUGUCCGGAAUUACUGGGUGUAAAGGGAGCGCAGGCGGACCGGCAAGUUGGAAGUGAAAACCAUGGGCUCAACCCAUGAAUUGCUUUCAAAACUGCUGGCCUUGAGUAGUGCAGAGGUAGGUGGAAUUCCCGGUGUAGCGGUGGAAUGCGUAGAUAUCGGGAGGAACACCAGUGGCGAAGGCGACCUACUGGGCACCAACUGACGCUGAGGCUCGAAAGCAUGGGUAGCAAGCAGGAUUAGAUACCCUGGUAGUCCAUGCCGUAAACGAAGAUUACUAGGUGUUGGAGGAUUGACCCCUUCAGUGCCGCAGUUAACACAAUAAGUAAUCCACCUGGGGAGUACGACCGCAAGGUUGAAACUCAAAGGAAUUGACGGGGGCCCGCACAAGCAGUGGAGUAUGUGGUUUAAUUCGAAGCAACGCGAAGAACCUUACCAGGUCUUGACAUCCGAUGCAUAGCUUAGAGAUAAGUGAAGUCCUUCGGGACAUCGAGACAGGUGGUGCAUGGUUGUCGUCAGCUCGUAUCGUGAGAUGUUGGGUUAAGUCCCGCAACGAGCGCAACCCUUAUUGCCAGUUACUACGCAAGAGGACUCUGGCGAGACUGCCGUUGACAAAACGGAGGAAGGUGGGGAUGACGUCAAAUCAUCAUGCCCUUUAUGACCUGGGCUACACACGUACUACAAUGGCGUUUAACAAAGAGAAGCAAGACCGCGAGGUGGAGCAAAACUCAGAAACAACGUC
rnacentral:rRNA from 1 species